GACAGGAGGUUAAAAUUACUACUCGAGUCUCGCAAUCUAUCAAAACGCGAUUCUCACCUAGCCAAUCCAUACCCAAGAUGACAUCGAAGUCUUGCAUGUUUAACACUAUCAGUGUAGCUUCGAUGACACGUCCUGAUAUU